AUUGUACGCUGGCGGCAUGCUUUACACAUGCAAGUCGAACGGUAACAGGCCGCAAGGUGCUGACGAGUGGCGAACGGGUGAGUAAUGCAUCGGAACGUGCCCAGUCGUGGGGGAUAACGCAGCGAAAGCUGCGCUAAUACCGCAUACGAUCUAUGGAUGAAAGCGGGGGACCGAAAGGCCUCGCGCGAUUGGAGCGGCCGAUGUCAGAUUAGGUAGUUGGUGGGGGAAAGGCUCACCAAGCCAACGAGCUGUAGCUGGUCUGAGAGGACGACCAGCCACGCUGGGACUGAGACACGGCCCAGACUCCUACGGGAGGCAGCAGUGGGGAAUUUUGGACAAGGGGCGCAAGCCUGAUCCAGCAAUGCCGCGUGCAGGAAGAAGGCCUUCGGGUUGUAAACUGCUUUUGUACGGAACGAAAAGGCUCUGGUUAAUACCUGGGGCUCAUGACGGUACCGUAAGAAUAAGCACCGGCUAACUACGUGCCAGCAGCCGCCGUAACAC
rnacentral:rRNA from 1 species